rnacentral:rRNA from 1 species
AAGUCAGCAUGACCUUUAUAUCCAGGCUACGACACACGCUACAAUGGUCAGUACAAUGGGUUAGCCAAGCCCGCGAGGGCGGAGCCAAUCCUAAAAAGCUGGCCUCAGUUCAGAUUGCAGUCUGAAACUCGACUGCAUGAAGUCGGAGUUGCUAGUAAACGCAGGUCAGCUAUACUGCGUUGAAUACGUUCCCGGGGCUU